CACGUAGUUAGCCGGUGCUUCUUCUACACCUACCGUCACCCGAAGGCUUCGUCGAUGUCGAAAGAGGUUUACAACCCGAAGGCCGUCAUCCCCACGCGGCGUUGCUGCGUCAGGCUUUCGCCCAUUGCGCAAGAUUCCCCACUGCUGCCUCCCGUAGGAGUCUGGGCCGUGUCUCAGUCCCAGUGUGGCCGGUCACCCUCUCAGGCCGGCUACCCGUCGUCGCCUUGGUAGGCCAUCACCCCACCAACAAGCUGAUAGGCCGCGGGCUCAACCUACACCGCCGGAACUUUCCACACACAGACCAUGCGGCCAUGCGUCCUAUCCGGUAUUAGACCCCGUUUCCAAGGCUUAUCCCAGAGUGCAGGGCAGAUUACCCACGUGUUACUCACCCGUUCGCCACUCAUCCACCCACCGAAGCGGGCUUCAGCGUUCGACUUGCAUGUGUUAAGCACGCCGCCAGCGUGUCCUCGAGCACGGAGUCAACUAC
rnacentral:rRNA from 1 species